GGCGGGCGGAGGGGGGUGCUCCACACACUCAGAACACUUUCCUCUGCACUUACUUCAUUCUGGUUUUUCUUUUGGGUCCUUGGUGUUUUUAAAUAAACCCUUUCCUGUAGUUUGCUCCCCUUCCAUGGAGGGCUGUUUCGAGCACAGAUCUGCUGGGUGUCUGUAUUUACAAAGAGAAGGGGCCACUCGUGUGUGAGCAGCACCGAGGGACAGAGGCAUUUUUUACACCUGGAGCAGCCAGAGGACGCAUGCAUGGCUCUUCGGAAGCCUUCUCCUGCCACAGCAUGCACCCACACAUGCGAGCCUCCCGGGUACUGUCAUCCUGAAUUCUGAGACCAUCCAGCACUUCCUUUAGUUUUGCCCUAGUGCUGUUGACUUUUGUUUACUGAAGAGUGUGCUGGAGGCAGGACAAGGGACAUGGAAGGCUGCAAUUUAAGAGUC
rnacentral:lncRNA from 1 species